AGGGGAACACUCCAUUGUGGCUGCAGCAAAUGGUGGACACCUUGACGUGGUUCAGUUACUGGUGCAAGCAGGUGUAGAUGUGGAUGCAGCUGAUAACCGCAAGAUAACUCCUCUUAUGGAAGCAUUUAGAAAGGGGCAUGUGGAGGUGGC